rnacentral:lncRNA from 1 species
AAGCAGAUUUCUACUAGCUGUUGGCCUUGAAAGUCUUUGCUAGGUUUGUAUUUGCCUCUGUUUCUAUCCUAGGACUUUGGUAAUGGUUUAUAUUGUAAUUUGCUCUGAAAGCAUAUCUUGUAAAUCUUUACAUGUGCCUCGUGUAUGUACAGCUUCAGUCACAGUGAUAGACCACUGUACAGUUUCUCUUUGGCACAUACUUGGGUCAAAACCUAAUGGGAUAUUCAACGCUAUCUUAUCUCCAUUUGUCUGUCAGUCUGUCUGGAAUUACAAUGCUGAUGAUUGGAUUCAGGGACUGAUAAAUUGUGGGAAAGCACAUUACCACUGAGGUACAUCCUAGCCCUUUUAAAAUCUUUUUAUUUGCCCAGACUGGCAUUUUACCUGUGAUCUAUAGCCUGCUGAGUAACUGGGAUUACAGGCCUGCUCCUCCAGGCCCAGCUUCACUACCAUUUUUAUUUGUUUUAUCUUUCUCCACCAAAUAAUCCACCUGCUGUUUAUUUUUAAAGUUCUCUGGUCCUUUGUUAGUUGCUCGUGUACUUUUGCCCCCCUCCCCGUACAUGCAAAUGCCUUAGUUAAGAUUCCUAUUGCUGUGAUAAAACACCAUGACCAAAAGCACCCUGAAUAGGAAAGGGUUUAUUUUACCUUCCUCACUGAGCAAAGCUGAAGUAGGAGGGACCUGGAGGCAGGAACUGGAGGAGAAGCUACAGAGUGCUGCUGACUUGUUCCUUUGGCCUUCUCAGUUUACUUUCUCACAUAACUACCUACCCAGUAGGUUUGGCACUGCCCACAGUGACAUGGGUUAUCCCACAUCAGUCAACCAACCAAUCAAAAAGGAAAAAAAAUCUCACAGGCUUCUUCACAGGCCAAUCUGGGGUUCUUAAUGAUGAGGUUCCAUUUUCUCAGAUGACUUUUAGCUUGUGUCAGUUUAUCAUAAAACUAGCUAUAAUAAUUGACCCAUUGUCAACUAAACACACAAAUGUUAUUCAACUAGAACUUUUCUUAUAUGCUCCCAACAUUUCAUAUUAAUAUUACAAUAAAAUAUAUUCCAACUUUUAAAAGUCCCACAUUCCCUCUACCCCUUAAUCCAAACAUAAAGUUGGUUGUGGUGGUGUAUACCUUUAAUCCUAGCAAAGACAGACAGAUCUAUGUGCUCUGUGAGUUUGAGGCCAGCCUGUUUAUACAUAGAGAAAACAGAGUGUUUUAAAAAAAUAAAAAUAAGUUCAUACACUUUAAACAUUCAAUGUCUUUAAAAAUAUCCAAAGUUUCUUUAAAGUAGAGUUUCCCUAAAAUUCCAAAAUGUCUUAACUGUGAGUAUGUGUAAAAAAAUAAGCUAAAUAAUUCAUCCAAGAGGGAAGAAUCGGGCACAGUUAAAGUCGAGGCAAAACCCAAGUCCAUGGAGGAUUUGGUAAUGAUCUUCUGGGCUCUCCAGGGCUUUAUUUCUCCAGCUCUGCUGUUGGCAACACAAGCAGCUUGUUUCCUAGGCUCAGGCUGGCUUCACUCCACAGCUGCUGUUGUCCUUGUGGUUGUCCAAUGGUACUGACAUCUCCAAAAUGUUGGGGGUCUCUGCUGUUGCUGGGCUGACCUUUCCUGGGCUCUCUUCAGAGACUCUGGUCCUACCACAUGGUGGCAGACCUCAAUCAGACUUCAACCCUGCAGGAUUCCUCAAGUCUUCAAAGCCAGUACCACCUGGGAAAUGCUUACGCAUUAAUUACCAAGUUCUACUGCCAGCGUGAAGUUCUCCCAACUCCUCUGAAGACUGAAGGUGGAAAGUCACAGUAAAUGCUUGCCCCCUCUGGACCACAGCUGUGUGCUGACUCUGAGGCACAUUUCCCAGAAGAUUUCCCCUGAAUGUUGCUGACUGUUAACCCUCAGCUGACCAUGAUCAAUUUAUCAUCCAAGCAAAGGCUUUCACUUUAGUGGUCUGGUCUCUUGUUAAUUACAGCUCUUUCUAAAGCUCCUGUUGACCAGAAACACAGAUGUUAAUUCAAUUUCAGAUGGCUCUGAUAGAGUCAGGGGCUUUCUGUGUAGUACUAACUUUCUUGGAACUUGCCAUAUAUAUAUCAGACUGGUCUCAGACUCAGAGAUCCUCCAGCCCUAGCCUCUGCCUCCUGAGUGCUGGGAUUAAAGACAUGGGCCACCUUGUCCAGCCCCAAUAGAGUCUUGAAGGGACUCUCAACUUCCCUCUGGAACUUCACAAGCAAGGUUUCUUUUCUGUUGCCUGCACAACUUUGAGCAGUCUUAUCUUCUAAGCUCCUACAGAACAGCCCACUUGAGUUCUGAGUACUGAUUGGCUUUUCCAGG